UGGGGAAUUUUCCGCAAUGGGCGCAAGCCUGACGGAGCAGUACCGCGUGAGGGAGGAAGGCCUUUGGGUUGUAAACCUCUUUUCUUAAGGAAGAAGAACUGACGGUACUUAAGGAAUCAGCAUCGGCUAACUCCGUGCCAGCAGCCGCGGUAAUACGGAGGAUGCAAGCGUUAUCCGGAAUCACUGGGCGUAAAGGGCACGUAGGCGGUUUGUUAAGUCUGAUGUUAAAGCGUGGGGCUCAACCCCAUCACGGCGUUGGAUACUGGCAAGCUAGACGAUUGGAGAGGUAAGUAGAAUUACCAGUGUAGCGGUGGAAUGCGUAGAUACUGGUAGGAAUACCAAUAGCGAAGGCAGCUUACUGGACAAUUAGUGACGCUGAGGUGCGAAAGUGUGGGGAGCGAACCGGAUUAGAUACCCCCGUAGUCC
rnacentral:rRNA from 1 species